rnacentral:rRNA from 1 species
GACGAACCGUGCGAACGUUAUUCGGAAUCACUGGGCUUAAAGCGCGUGUAGGCGGGCGGGAACGUCGGUCGCUGAAAUCCCCCGGCUCAACCGGGGAAGUGGUGCCGAAACGACCCGCCUGGAGGGACGUAGGGGGAGCUGGAACUUCCGGUGGAGUGGUGAAAUGCGUUGAGAUCGGAAGGAACGCCCGUGGCGAAAGCGAGCUCCUGGACGUCUGCUGACGCUGAGACGCGAAAGCCAGGGUAGCGAACGGG